ACCCGCUUGGAUUAAGCAUAUCAAUAAGCGGAGGAAAAGAAACCCAACAGGGAUUGCCCCAGUAACGGCGAGUGAAGCGGCAACAGCUCAAAUUUGAAAUCUGGCUCUCGGGCCCGAGUUGUAAUUUGUAGAGGAUGCUUUUGGUGAGGUGCCUUCCGAGUUCCCUGGAACGGGACGCCAUAGAGGGUGAGAGCCCCGUCUGGUUGGACACCGAUCCUCUGUAAAGCUCCUUCGACGAGUCGAGUAGUUUGGGAAUGCUGCUCUAAAUGGGAGGUAUAUGUCUUCUAAAGCUAAAUACCGGCCAGAGACCGAUAGCGCACAAGUAGAGUGAUCGAAAGAUGAAAAGAACUUUGAAAAGAGAGUUAAACAGUACGUGAAAUUGUUGAAAGGGAAGCGCUUGUGACCAGACUUGGGCUUGGUUGAUCAUCCGGGGUUCUCCCCGGUGCACUCUUCCGGCCCAGGCCAGCAUCAGUUCGCCCUGGGGGACAAAGGCUUCGGGAAUGUGGCUCUCUCCGGGGAGUGUUAUAGCCCGUUGCGUAAUACCCUGUGGCGGACUGAGGUUCGCGCAUUCGCAAGGAUGCUGGCGUAAUGGUCAUCAGUGACCCGUCUUGAAACACGGACCAAGGAGUCGUCUUCGUAUGCGAGUGUUCGGGUGUCAAACCCCUACGCGAAAUGAAAGUGAACGCAGGUGAGAGCUUCGGCGCAUCAUCGACCGAUCCUGAUGUUAUCGGAUGGAUUUGAGUAAGAGCAUACGGGGCCGGACCCGAAAGAAGGUGAACUAUGCCUGUGUAGGGUGAAGCCAGAGGAAACUCUGGUGGAGGCUCGCAGCGGUUCUGACGUGCAAAUCGAUCGUCAAACAUGGGCAUGGGGCGAAAGACUAAUCGAACCUUCUAGUAGCUGGUUUCCGCCGAAGU
rnacentral:rRNA from 1 species